UACGAAGGGUGCUAGCGUUGUUCGGAAUUACUGGGCGUAAAGCGCGCGCAGGCGGUUCUUUCAAGUCAGAGGUGAAAGCCCAGAGCUCAACUCUGGAAUGGCCUUUGAGACUAGAGAACUAGGGUACGGGAGAGGUGAGUGGAAUUCCGAGUGUAGAGGUGAAAUUCGUAGAUAUUCGGAAGAACACCAGUGGCGAAGGCGGCUCACUGGCCCGUUACCGACGCUCAGGCGCGACAGCGUGGGGAGCAAACAGG
rnacentral:rRNA from 1 species